rnacentral:rRNA from 1 species
GACGUAGGUGGCAAGCGUUGUCCGGAGUUAUUGGGCGUAAAGCGCGCGCAGGCGGUUCGGUAAGUCCAUGGUGAAAGCGCCCGGCUCAACUGGGCGAGUGCCGUGGGGACUGCCGAGCUGGAGGGGAGCAGAGGCGAGUGGAAUUCCGGGUGUAGUGGUGAAAUGCGUAGAGAUCCGGAGGAACACCAGUGGCGAAGGCGGCUCGCUGGGCUCGUACCU